rnacentral:rRNA from 1 species
UACGUAGGGCGCAAGCGUUGUCCGGAAUUAUUGGGCGUAAAGAGCUCGUAGGCGGUCUGUCGCGUCUGUUGUGAAAACUCGAGGCUCAACCUCGGGCUUGCAGUGGAUACGGGCAGACUAGAGUGCGGUAGGGGAGACUGGAAUUCCUGGUGUAGCGGUGGAAUGCGCAGAUAUCAGGAGGAACACCGAUGGCGAAGGCAGGUCUCUGGGCCGCAACUGACGCUGAGGAGCGAAAGCAUGGGGAGCGAACAGGG